rnacentral:rRNA from 1 species
AUUGAACGCUGGCGGAAUGCUUUACACAUGCAAGUCGAACGGCAGCACGGACUUCGGUCUGGUGGCGAGUGGCGAACGGGUGAGUAAUGUAUCGGAACGUGCCCAGUCGUGGGGGAUAACGUAGUGAAAAUUACGCUAAUACUGCAUACGAUCUAUGGAUGAAAGCGGGGGAUCGCAAGAGCUCGCGCGCUUGGAGCGGCCGGUAUCAGAAUUGGUAGUUGGUGGGGUAAAGGCGCACCAAGCCAACGAUCUGUAGCUGGUCUGAGAGGACGACCAGCCUGACUGAAACUGAGGCACGGUCCAUACUCCUACGGGAGGCAGCAGUGGAGAAUGUUGGACAAUGGGCGAAAGCCUGAACCAGCCAUUCCGCGUGCAGGAUGAACGCCCUCGGGUUGUAAACUGCUUUAGGACAGAAGGAAAAGGUUGCUACAAACACCAGGGGCUCAGGACGGCACGGUAAGAAUAAGCACCGGCUAACUACGUGCCAGCCGCCGCCGUAA